GUGAGUCAUCGAAUCUUUGAACGCACAUUGCGCCCGCGAGUAUUCUCGCGGGCAUGCCUGUUCGAGCGUCAUUUCAACCCUCAAACCCCCGGGUUUGGUGUUGGGGAUCGGCGGUCGCGGCCCUCUACGGGCCCGCGCCGGCCCCGAAAUCUAGUGGCGGUCUCGCUUGCAGCCUCCUCUGCGUAGUAGUAACAUUCUCGCACCGGAGCGCGGGCGCGGCCACGCCGUUAAACACCCCACUUCUGAAAGGUUGACCUCGGAUCAGGUAGGAAUACCCGCUGAACUUAAGCAUAUCAAUAAGCGGAGGA
rnacentral:misc_RNA from 1 species